CAAGUCGUUAUUCCCUGUUACAAAACUCCAACCCUGGGAAAAUCCACACGAAUCAAUCGAUCCAAACUAUUCUGCUAUUUCAUUUGUGGAGAGUAUAAAUCACACACCAGUCUGCCCAGAUUUCAUUCGUACUCGUCAAUUUCAGGAAGAAAUCAGAGCCCAAACCUAAUCGUCACAUUCAGUAAGUAGCCCCAGCCCGAAAUAGUCAACAACCAAGCCGUCCGUGCAUUGGCCCAAACUUGCAACAAAAAGUCAUCAUUGACUGAGUUUGUCAUGCAUUCUUUUUGCAGCAAAUAAAAAUCAAAAAAAAAAUCAAAGAAAUGUGAUAGCAAAGCAGCUUUUUGGUUUGAUUGGAUGACCCGCACUCGCCUUCUGCUACGAUACGAUACUUCAGUGUACAACGAUGAGCAUAAUAAGAAUAAUCCUAUUCAAUCUUGUGCAUGCUGUUGAUGUAUUUCUAUACGCUCGCUUGACUUGAUUCACUUCCUGUUUACUGUGGACGUUAAGUAUUUAUAUGAAAAAUGCAGCCUCCUGUCAAACUUUUUUUUGUUUUUAAGUGAUUAUUUUCUAUACUGGUGAUUUAAAAAAAAAAAAAAAGAAAAAAAAAAGGAAGCGUUGUUUUCGAGAUCAAAAUAAAGGGGGAAAAAAAGGGAUGCUAGAACUUCACGUGUGCUCUCACAAUGGAGAGGGGGGAAAGAAAAAGAUGACCACGGCAGCACUAAUCUCCCGUCUUGGAUUAUUUCUGCGCCAUGACAAAGACGUUUGGACCACAUGGAAUGGGAUUUGUUUGCUCUUCUUUCUCUCUUUUCAUCACGUGACAAAAAAGAUCUUGAAUGUGAGUCAUGAUGUAGCAGUUGCACAAAAAUCUUAGCUAGGAUGAAGAAUAAAAAAAGGCUGAUGACGACUGAGCAAAGCGCCGGCCGGCGUUUGUGUUCCGAGCCUCAUUUGCAUACGGCAAACACUUCAACUAUGACGAUGCGGCACCUGGAAAGACCUCGCUCGCUCGCUCGGACGUUCUGCAUUAUUGAUAUCGAGCGGUGGCGGCACAACACAGGAAAGCGUCCCGAGCGGGUGGCUGGCGUGGCGAGGGAGCUAGGGAGCGAGGAUUUGCUCAGAGCUAUCUCAGGCUGGAGCGGGCCUUGAGGCCGCGGUGGCAACGUUGGCAAGGGCGCAUUGGUUCCGAUGGUGAUUUUAUUCCGACCGACUCGGAUCGGCCCGUGUGAAAACAACUUCUUUGGAAAUCUCCCAAAAACCAAGGAUUCACGGCUACAAAGGUGUCACGCGGCUUGAUUUGGAAAAAGGAAUAGGAAGGCCAUGAUUCUUGCAGGGCAGCAAAACACUUGAACGGAUUUGCAACGACCUUGGAGGCGAAAUGUUAACAGAGACAGCGAGAGAGAAACCUUUUGAAUUUGUUGACGUCCAAAAAAGAAGGGCGCAGCUCAAACUCGAUGAAAAGCGGAUGACUGAGCCGCCGAGGUACUUUUCGUGCUGUUGCAUGGCAACCGUUUCCACAGAAAUCUUGCAGCAGCAGCAGAACACAAUAUGACUCAGGGCAAAGUUUGGGGCAUGUUCAGAGCAUUGAUAGCGAACGGAUGAAGAGAGAUUCACUCACGCACACACCACAGGUGGCCCAAGUACUCGCACUCGUCAUCUGUUCCGUAGUCCGAUGAUGCAUGGUGCACAUGAAUUCUCUUGAGAAAUGAUGGCAACAGCGCCAUCCUGUGUUCAAGACUAGAAACAGACGAGCUCCCAUCUGUCGGACAGCUUUUAUUCUCGUAGGAAAAUGUAAACAAAUAUUUUUUGCCUCGCCAAUGCGGUCGAUUCUAAUGCGCGGCCCGUGUCACUAAACUCCUGAGCUACGACCGUAACCAUGGCAACACAGAAAAAGAAAAAGAAGCGA